AAUCCUCACUAUGACAUACCCGAUACAUAAGAAAAGAGACCCACACUCUCCAAAGAAUCUUAAUCUCUCCUCCACAUGAGAACUCUUCAAAUAUUUGUGGAGAGCUGCUCUUCUCUCCUCUCCAUGCUAAGUAUCUCCAGUUCCUUCUACUGAUCUUCAUAUGACAUAGAGUCAAGGCCCUUCAGACUAUCCUUGCUGACAAUCUCUGGAUACUCUCCAAUUUAUCAGCGUCCUUAAACCAUGGUAUCCAGGACCAAGCACAAUACUACAAAUAAGGUUCGAUGUGGGUAAAGAGUGACUACCACACCUUUUUUUCCAGAUAGUCCAAGAUUGAAUUUGGUUUUUUGGCUGCACAUCAUGCAAUUGAAGCAUAUUAAAAGCUUGCACUCCACUAAAA